rnacentral:rRNA from 1 species
UACAGAGGGUGCAAGCGUUAAUCGGAAUUACUGGGCGUAAAGCGUGCGUAGACGGUUAUUUAAGUCGGGUGUGAAAGCCCCGGGCUCAACCUGGGAAUUGCAUUCGAGACUGAAUAGCUAGGGUGCGGAAGAGGGAAGCGGAAUUUCCGGUGUAGCGGUGAAAUGCGUAGAUAUCGGGAGGAACACCUGAGGCGAAGGCGGGCUACUGGGCCGAUACUGACGCUGAUGCGCGAAAGCCAGGGGAGCGAACGGG